rnacentral:tmRNA from 1 species
GGGGAUGAUCCGGUUUCGACGGGGGUAACAGAGGAAGGAUAAGCGAGCCGCAGACCCUGUACUGCGUAUCAACGGGGAAAAACAAUAACUGACAAUAGCAAUUACGCUUUCGCGGCUUAAUGCCGCGCGUCGGCUCU